rnacentral:tRNA from 1 species
AGGGGCAUGGUUCAAUGGUAGAACAUCGGUCUCCAAAACCGCAGAUGAGGGUUCGAUUCCUUCUGCCCCUGCCA